AGGAAGGGAGGGCAUUGGCUUGGCCCCCACCCAUACAGGCACAGGCCUGACAGGCUCUUAGUGUCUUGCAGGUUUCCAGGAGCCAUCUCCCUGGGCAGUGCUGGACCCACCACAGGAGGGCCUGGAGGAGGAUGCUCCAGGAGCCAGCCUGUGGCCCACCACCAUCACCUUGCUCACCCUCUUCUUGCUGAGCCUCUUCUACAGCACGGCACUGACUGUGACCAGCAUCCGGGGCCCAUCUGGCAGCAAAGAAGUCCCCCAGUACUGAGCAGGAGCCAGCCAAGCACAAGGAGGAGCCUGGAGGAGCCUCCUGGAAGCCCAGCUGGAUGCCGGAGCUCAGCCCUGCUUGGAAGCCACCCUACACUCCCACACAGGCCUUCCCGGUGCAAUAAACUGAUCCCCAAGG